rnacentral:rRNA from 1 species
CCUACGGGUGGCAGCAGUGAGGAAUAUUGGUCAAUGGGCGCGAGCCUGAACCAGCCAAGCAGCGUGCAGGAUGACUGCUCUACGGGUUGUAAACUUCUUUUAUAAAGGAAUAAAGUGAGGCACGUGUGCCUUUUUGUCUGUAUUUUAUGAAUAAGGAUCGGCUAACUCCGUGCCAGCAGCCGCGGUAAUACUGAGGAUCCGAGCGUUAUCCGGAUUUAUUGGGUGUAAAGGGUGCGUAGAUGGGUUGUUAAGUCAGUUGUGAAAGUGUGAGGCUCAACCGUAAAAUUGCAAUUGAUACUGGAAGCCUUGAGAACAGUUGAGGUAGGCGGAAUUCGUGGUGUAGCGGUGAAAUGCUUAGAGAUCACGAAGAACACCGAUUGCGAAGGCAGCCUACUAAACUGCCACUGACGUUGAGGCUCGAAAGUGUGGGUAGCAAACAGGAUUAGAGACCCUUGUAGUC